rnacentral:rRNA from 1 species
AGAGUUUGAUCCUGGCUCAGAUUGAACGCUGGCGGCAGGCCUAACACAUGCAAGUCGAGCGGGGUUUUCGGACCUAGCGGCGGACGGGUGAGUAAUGCGUAGGAAGCCACCCGAUAGAGGGGGAUACCAGUUGGAAACGACUGUUAAUACCGCAUAAUGUCUACGGACCAAAGUGUGGGACCUUCGGGCCACAUGCUAUCGGAUGCGCCUACGUGGGAUUAGCUAGUUGGUGAGGUAAUGGCUCACCAAGGCGACGAUCUCUAGCUGGUUUGAGAGGAUGAUCAGCCACACUGGAACUGAGACACGGUCCAGACUCCUACGGGAGGCAGCAGUGGGGAAUAUUGGACAAUGGGCGCAAGCCUGAUCCAGCCAUGCCGCGUGUGUGAAGAAGGCCUUCGGGUUGUAAAGCACUUUCAGCGAGGAGGAAGGGUUGGUCGUUAAUAGCGGCUAAUUUUGACGUUACUCGCAGAAGAAGCACCGGCUAACUCUGUGCCAGCAGCCGCGGUAAUACAGAGGGUGCAAGCGUUAAUCGGAAUUACUGGGCGUAAAGCGCACGCAGGCGGUUGGUUAAGUCAGAUGUGAAAGCCCCGGGCUCAACCUGGGAAUUGCAUUUGAAACUGGCCAACUAGAGUAUGUGAGAGGGGGGUAGAAUUCCAAGUGU